rnacentral:lncRNA from 1 species
AUCUUCCUUCGAUCUUGAUUUGUUGAACUUUGACGGGCUUUGACUUGAAGAUCUUGGAGUUCUUGAUGGAUUUGGCCCUUCAAUCUUCCUUCGAUCUUGAUUUGUUGAACUUUGACGGGCUUUGACUUGAAGAUCUUGGAAUUCUUGAUGGAUUUGGCCCUGCAAUCUUCCUUCGAUCUUGAUUUGUUGAACUUUGACGGGCUUUGACUUGAAGAUCUUGGAAUUCUUGAUGGAUUUGGCCCUUCAAUCUUCCUUCGAUCUUGAUUUGUUGAAGAACGCCCUCGAUUUGAUGAAGAACGCCUUGAAUUUGAUGAAGAACGACUUGAAUUUGAUGAAGAACGACUUGAAUAUUGUAGAGAGAAUUUCCUCCUACGGUUUUUCUUCUUCUUGAGUUGUGU